GACUUAGUAGUUCAGCGGUAGAAUUCUCACCUUCCAUGUGAGAGAUCUGGGUUCGAUUCCAGGCCAAUGCA
rnacentral:tRNA from 1 species